AUUGAACGCUGGCGGCAGGCUUAACACAUGCAAGUCGAGCGGAGAGAGGUAGCUUGCUACCGAUCUUAGCGGCGGACGGGUGAGUAAUGCUUAGGAAUCUGCCUAUUAGUGGGGGACAACAUUUCGAAAGGAAUGCUAAUACCGCAUACGUCCUACGGGAGAAAGCAGGGGAUCUUCGGACCUUGCGCUAAUAGAUGAGCAUAAGUCGGAUUAGCUAGUUGGUGGGGUAAAGGCCUACCAAGGCGAAGAUCUGUAGCGGGUCUGAGAGGGUGAUCCGCCACACUGGGACUGAGACACGGCCCAGACUCCUACGGGAGGCAGCAGUGGGGAAUAUUGGACAAUGGGCGCAAGCCUGAUCCAGCCAUGCCGCGUGUGUGAAGAAGGCCUUAUGGUUGUAAAGCACUUUAAGCGAGGAGGAGGCUACUUUAGUUAAUACCUAGAGAUAGUGGACGUUACUCGCAGAAUAAGCACCGGCUAACUCUGUGCCAGCCGCCGCCGUAAGAC
rnacentral:rRNA from 1 species